rnacentral:tRNA from 1 species
GGCCCGUUUACUCAGUUGAUUAGAGCGUCGUACUCAUAACGCGAAUGUCGUGGGUUCGAUCCCCCCAUGGGUCA